CCUACGGGUGGCUGCAGUGGGGAAUCUUGGACAAUGGGGGCAACCCUGAUCCAGCGAUGCCGCGUGAGUGAAGAAGGCCUUUGGGUUGUAAAGCUCUUUCACCUGUGACGAUAAUGACGGUAACAGGAGAAGAAGCCCCGGCUAACUCCGUGCCAGCAGCCGCGGUAAGACGGAGGGGGCUAGCGUUGUUCGGAAUGACUGGGCGUAAAGGGCGCGUAGGCGGUCUGUCAAGUCAGGCGUGAAAUCCUUGGGCUUAACCUUAGAAGUGCGUUUGAUACUGAUAGACUAGAGGACGAGAGAGGAAAGUGGAAUUCCGAGUGUAGAGGUGAAAUUCGUAGAUAUUCGGAGGAACACCAGAGGCGAAGGCGGCUUUCUGGCUCGUACCUGACGCUGAGGCGCGAAAGCGUGGGGAGCAAACAGGAUUAGAUACCCCUGUAGUC
rnacentral:rRNA from 1 species